UUAAGCGACUAAGCGUACACGGUGGAUGCCCUGGCAGUCAGAGGCGAUGAAGGACGUGCUAAUCUGCGAAAAGCGUCGGUAAGGUGAUAUGAACCGUUAUAGCCGGCGAUGUCCGAAUGGGGAAACCCAGUGCAAUUCGUUGCACUAUCGUUAACUGAAUACAUAGGUUAACGAGGCGAACCGGGGGAACUGAAACAUCUAAGUACCCCGAGGAAAAGAAAUCAACCGAGAUUCCCCCAGUAGCGGCGAGCGAACGGGGAGCAGCCCAGAGUCUGAAUCAGCUUGUGUGUUAGUGGAACGGUCUGGAAAGUCCGACGGUACAGGGUGAUAGUCCCGUACACCAAAAUGCACAGGUUGUGAACUCGAAGAGUAGGGCGGGACACGUGGUAUCCUGUCUGAAUAUGGGGGGACCAUCCUCCAAGGCUAAAUACUCCUGACUGACCGAUAGUGAACCAGUACCGUGAGGGAAAGGCGAAAAGAACCCCGGCGAGGGGAGUGAAAAAGAACCUGAAACCGUGUACGUACAAGCAGUGGGAGCACCUUCGGGUGUGACUGCGUACCUUUUGUAUAAUGGGUCAGCGACUUAUAUUCUGUAGCAAGGUUAACCGUAUAGGGGAGCCGCAGGGAAACCGAGUCUUAACUGGGCGUUAAGUUGCAGGGUAUAGACCCGAAACCCGGUGAUCUAGCCAUGGGCAGGUUGAAGGUUGGGUAACACUAACUGGAGGACCGAACCGACUAAUGUUGAAAAAUUAGCGGAUGACUUGUGGCUGGGGGUGAAAGGCCAAUCAAACCGGGAGAUAGCUGGUUCUCCCCGAAAGCUAUUUAGGUAGCGCCUCGUGAAUUCAUCUUCGGGGGUAGAGCACUGUUUCGGCUAGGGGGUCAUCCCGACUUACCAACCCGAUGCAAACUACGAAUACCGAAGAAUGUUAUCACGGGAGACACACGGCGGGUGCUAACGUCCGUCGUGAAGAGGGAAACAACCCAGACCGCCAGCUAAGGUCCCAAAGUCAUGGUUAAGUGGGAAACGAUGUGGGAAGGCACAGACAGCCAGGAUGUUGGCUUAGAAGCAGCCAUCAUUUAAAGAAAGCGUAAUAGCUCACUGGUCGAGUCGGCCUGCGCGGAAGAUGUAACGGGGCUAAACCAUGCACCGAAGCUGCGGCAGCGACACUAUGUGUUGUUGGGUAGGGGAGCGUUCUGUAAGCCUGCGAAGGUGACCUGUGAGGGUUGCUGGAGGUAUCAGAAGUGCGAAUGCUGACAUAAGUAACGAUAAAGCGGGUGAAAAGCCCGCUCGCCGGAAGACCAAGGGUUCCUGUCCAACGUUAAUCGGGGCAGGGUGAGUCGACCCCUAAGGCGAGGCCGAAAGGCGUAGUCGAUGGGAAACAGGUUAAUAUUCCUGUACUUGGUGUUACUGCGAAGGGGGGACGGAGAAGGCUAUGUUAGCCGGGCGACGGUUGUCCCGGUUUAAGCAUGUAGGCUGAUUGUCCAGGCAAAUCCGGAUAAUCAAGGCUGAGGUGUGAUGACGAGGCACUACGGUGCUGAAGUAACAAAUGCCCUGCUUCCAGGAAAAGCCUCUAAGCAUCAGGUAACAUCAAAUCGUACCCCAAACCGACACAGGUGGUCAGGUAGAGAAUACCAAGGCGCUUGAGAGAACUCGGGUGAAGGAACUAGGCAAAAUGGUGCCGUAACUUCGGGAGAAGGCACGCUGGUGUGUAGGUGAAGUCCCUGCGGAUGGAGCUGAGACCAGUCGAAGAUACCAGCUGGCUGCAACUGUUUAUUAAAAACACAGCACUGUGCAAACACGAAAGUGGACGUAUACGGUGUGACGCCUGCCCGGUGCCGGAAGGUUAAUUGAUGGGGUUAUCCGUAAGGAGAAGCUCUUGAUCGAAGCCCCGGUAAACGGCGGCCGUAACUAUAACGGUCCUAAGGUAGCGAAAUUCCUUGUCGGGUAAGUUCCGACCUGCACGAAUGGCGUAAUGAUGGCCAGGCUGUCUCCACCCGAGACUCAGUGAAAUUGAACUCGCUGUGAAGAUGCAGUGUACCCGCGGCAAGACGGAAAGACCCCGUGAACCUUUACUAUAGCUUGACACUGAACAUUGAGCCUUGAUGUGUAGGAUAGGUGGGAGGCUUUGAAGCGUGGACGCCAGUCUGCGUGGAGCCAACCUUGAAAUACCACCCUUUAAUGUUUGAUGUUCUAACGUUGGCCCCUUACCGGGGUUGCGGACAGUGUCUGGUGGGUAGUUUGACUGGGGCGGUCUCCUCCCAAAGCGUAACGGAGGAGCACGAAGGUUAGCUAAUCCUGGUCGGACAUCAGGAGGUUAGUGCAAUGGCAUAAGCUAGCUUGACUGCGAGCGUGACGGCGCGAGCAGGUGCGAAAGCAGGUCAUAGUGAUCCGGUGGUUCUGAAUGGAAGGGCCAUCGCUCAACGGAUAAAAGGUACUCCGGGGAUAACAGGCUGAUACCGCCCAAGAGUUCAUAUCGACGGCGGUGUUUGGCACCUCGAUGUCGGCUCAUCACAUCCUGGGGCUGAAGUAGGUCCCAAGGGUAUGGCUGUUCGCCAUUUAAAGUGGUACGCGAGCUGGGUUUAGAACGUCGUGAGACAGUUCGGUCCCUAUCUGCCGUGGGCGCUGGAGAAUUGAGGGGGGCUGCUCCUAGUACGAGAGGACCGGAGUGGACGCAUCACUGGUGUUCGGGUUGUCAUGCCAAUGGCACUGCCCGGUAGCUAAAUGCGGAAGAGAUAAGUGCUGAAAGCAUCUAAGCACGAAACUUGCCCCGAGAUGAGUUCUCCCUGAGACUUUAAGUCUCCUGAAGGAACGUUAAAGACGAUGACGUUGAUAGGCCGGGUGUGUAAGCGCAGCGAUGCGUUGAGCUAACCGGUACUAAUGAACCGUGAGGCUUAACCUU
rnacentral:rRNA from 1 species